UACGGGGGGAGCAAGCGUUGUUCGGAUUUACUGGGCGUAAAGGGCGCGUAUGCGGCCACCGCAAGUCGACUGUGAAAUCUCCGGGCUUAACCCGGAAAGGUCAGCCGAUACUGCGGGGCUAGAGUGCAGAAGGGGCAACUGGAAUUCUCGGUGUAGCGGUGAAAUGCGUAGAUAUCGAGAGGAACACCUGCGGCGAAGGCGGGUUGCUGGGCUGACACUGACGCUGAAGCGCGAAAGCUAGGGGAGCGAACGGG
rnacentral:rRNA from 1 species